UUGUAUUGGAAUGAUAGAAAUUUAAACACUUUUUAAAGUAUCAAUUGGAGGGCAAGUCUGGUGCCAGCAGCCGCGGUAAUUCCAGCUCCAAUAGCGUAUAUUAAAAUUGUUGCAGUUAAAAAGCUCGUAGUUGAAUUUCUGCUAAAAAUAACCGGUCUGCUUUAAAUAAAAGUGGUAUCUUGGUGUGUUUUUAGCAAUAAUGUCCUUUGAAAUGUUUUUUACUUCAUUGUAAUAGAUUAUAUUAAGGAUUUUUACUUUGAGAAAAUUAGAGUGUUUCUAGCAGGCUAACGCUUUGAAUACUGCAGCAUGGAAUAAUAAAAUAGGAUUUUGGUUCUACAUUAUUGGUUUUAAGAGCUAAAUUAAUGAUUGAUAGGGACAGUUGGGGGCAUUUGUAUUUAACUGUCAGAGGUGAAAAUUCUUAGA
rnacentral:rRNA from 1 species